rnacentral:rRNA from 1 species
AUUGAACGCUGGCGGCAUGCCUAACACAUGCAAGUCGAGCGGAUGAAGGGAGCUUGCUCCUGGAUUCAGCGGCGGACGGGUGAGUAAUUCCUAGGAAUCUGCCUUGUAUUGGGGGAUAACGUCCGGAAACGGGCGCUAAUACCGCAUACGUCCUGAGGGUGAAAGUGGGGGAUCUUCGGACCUCACGCUAUCAGAUGAGCCUAGGUCGGAUUAGCUAGUUGGUGGGGUAAAGGCCUACCAAGGCGACGAUCCGUAGCUGGUCUGAGAGGAUGAUCAGUCACACUGGAACUGAGACACGGUCCAGACUCCUACGGGAGGCAGCAGUGGGGAAUAUUGGACAAUGGGCGAAAGCCUGAUCCAGCCAUGCCGCGUGUGUGAAGAAGGUCUUCGGAUUGUAAAGCACUUUAAGUUGGGAGGAAGGGAAGUAAGUUAAUACCUUGCUGUUUUGACGGUACCAACAGAAUAAGCACCGGCUAACUUCGUG